rnacentral:rRNA from 1 species
UACGAAGGGGGCUAGCGUUGUUCGGAAUUACUGGGCGUAAAGCGCGUGUAGGCGGAUUUUUAAGUCGGGGGUGAAAUCCCAGAGCUCAACUCUGGAACUGCCUUCGAUACUGGAAGUCUGGAGCAAGAUAGAGGGGGAUGGAAUUCCGCGUGUAGCGGUGAAAUGCGUAGAGAUUGGGAGGAACACCAGCGGCGAAGGCGGCAAACUGGAUCAGCACUGACACUAAACUGCGAAAGCGUGGGGAGCAAACAGG